GGACCUGCAUCAUGGUUCACAACCUGCAUGCUGGAAAACUCCGCACUCAAUAGAAUCUGCCCUUGGCCUCCUGCUCAGGCUGGACUUGGAUGUUGGAGCCCAGGAAAUGCGUUCUCCAAAGAGGAUGUGUGGUGUGCUGAUGACUUUGAGCUGAGAGCACUUGGAAACAGCAGAGGUCUGUUCCAACUAAGAACCUAUGAGGAGUGAAGAAGGAAAUGAUUUUCC